rnacentral:rRNA from 1 species
AGGAUGAACGCUGGCGGCGUGCCUAAGAUAUGCAAGUCGAGCGGUAAGGUUCUCACUCUGUACUUAAUUUUUUGAGUACGGUGUGAGAAUACACGAGCGGCGGACGGCUGAGUAACGCGUAGGAACGUACCCCAAAGUGAGGAAUAAGCCCGGGAAACCGGGUCUAAUGCCGCAUAAUCUCUUCGGAGGAAAGCCUUCGGGCGCUAUGGGAGCGGCCUGCGUAUGAUUAGCUUGUUGGUGAGGUAAAAGCUCACCAAGGCGACGAUCAUUAGCUGGUCUGAGAGGAUGAUCAGCCAGACUGGGACUGAGAACGGCCCAGACCCCUACGGGGGGCAGCAAUUAGGAAUCUUUCACAAUGGGGGAAACCCUGACUGGAGCAACGCCGCGUGCAGGAGGAAGGCCGUUCGGUUGUAAACUGCUUUUAUCUGUGAAGAUUAUGAGGUAGACAGAUGAAUAAGGACCGGCUAACGUCCGU